rnacentral:rRNA from 1 species
CAAUAGCGUAUAUUAAAGUUGUUGCAGUUAAAAAGCUCGUAGUUGGAUUUCUGGGAGGGUGCUAAUGUCCGCUAUACAGCGUGCGCAGCCGCGCCCUUCCAUCCUUCUGUUAACGCCUCUUGGCAUUCACUUGCUGGUGGCGGGCUCAGAUAUUUUACCUUGAGAAAAUUAGAGUGUUUCAGGCAGGCUAGGCCGGAAUAUAUUAGCAUGGAAUAAUGGAAUAGGACUAUGGUCUCUUUGUUGGUUUGAGGGACUGCAGUAAUGAUUAAUAGGGAUAGUUGGGGGCGAUUAGUAUUUAAUUGUCAGAGGUGGAAUUCUCAGAUUUGUUAAAGACUAACUUAUGCGAAAGCAUUUGCCAAGGAUGUUUUCUAUUAAUCAAGAACGAAAGUUAAGGGGAGUCAAAGACGAUCAGAUACCA